UACGUAGGUGGCAAGCGUUAUCCGGAAUUAUUGGGCGUAAAGAGCGCGCAGGUGGUUGAUUAAGUCUGAUGUGAAAGCCCACGGCUUAACCGUGGAGGGUCAUUGGAAACUGGUCGACUUGAGUGCAGAAGAGGGAAGUGGAAUUCCAUGUGUAGCGGUGAAAUGCGUAGAUAUCGGGAGGAACACCAGUGGCGAAGGCGACUUCCUGGCACAAUACUGACGCUCAUGUGCGAAAGCUAGGGUAGCGAACGGGAUUAGAUA
rnacentral:rRNA from 1 species